rnacentral:lncRNA from 1 species
AGCCACAAAUCUAUAAUUUCCUAAAGGAGCCUAACUCUUAAAAGGUUCACCCAAAGGUGGAGACCAGAUGCGCACUGAAGCCUCAAAUCUAUGAUUUUCUAAGGGAACCUAACUUCUAAAAGGUAUGCUCGAAUAUGGAGAUCAAAUGCACACCAAAGCCUCAAAUCUAUGAUUUUUCAUGAGAGCCUAACUCUUAAAAGAUUCAUUCGAAGAUGGAGAUCAGAUGCACAUCAAAGUCCAAAUUUAUGAUUUUUGAGGGUGGCUGAAUCACUUGAAAGGUAUACCCAU